GAAUGCUUACUUUCACAGUAGAAGAAUGAGAAAAUGUAUUAAGAGGAGAUGCAGAUGGAGAACCUGAAGAGAACCAGAGAUGCACAUAUUCAAUGAGGAUUUUCUAUAAGUAAAGGCAGUGAAAAAGUUGAAGCUUUGUGUUAUUAAGAGAUUUACUGAAGCCACGUUCCUGACAUAGCCCCAAUGUACAUGCAGCACGGCUCCCUCCAGGGCCUGUUGCGGUCACCCAGCUCUUGCUCCAGCCAAGCCUCAGCCUUCUCUCUGAUGGAGAUUUGAAGAUAAUGUGAGUUGCUUAUGGUGUUAAGAUGAACUAUGUAGAAAAAAACUAUUGAUCUGUAUGUCAAUAAUUAGAUGACAAGUUAUAGCCUCCCCCAAAUGUUACAAUGCAUGAAUUUUUCUCAAAAAGCAUUUAUACAUUUAAAAAAGAUGAAUGAUGUUGGCAUUAUGGUGAUCCUUUCAUUUCUGUUGCACUAGAAGUAGUUUGGUUGUUCUUUAGAUUGGAGAGGGGAGUAGGGAAAUACCUUCCAGAUGUCCUUAAAAAUAAAGUGAAAAGAUCUGUAUGCUAGAUGGAUCUUGGCUGAAGGAUCAUAGUACAAAAAGUGCCUCAAAUAUAAAUCAUCUUGUGAUUAGAUUUUUAACAAGCCUUCCAGGUAAACCAAAUGACAGCACUCAGUGUCUUAGUAAAUGGUUUCAAAGGAUUAGUUUCCCUAAUAGUUUGCUUCCUCUGACCUGGCACAGAGUUCUCUUUGCCCCCUGGAGAUGAUAUACAUUUUCCCAUGCUCACAGAGAACAGGAUGAGUCAACAAACUUUAGCUAGAAACUCAGCCAGCGAGGUUUCUGCCCUCUUGAGUAAGAACUUCACUGGAUGCUCACCUGGAACUUCUAAUUGAAGCCCUUCUCUGACUCUGAACAAUGUCACCAGUGGUCCAAGAUUCAGAAAAAUUGCCCUAUAUGUGAUGUGUGCAAAAAUUAGGCUUGGGAAUUGUUCCUAAAAUUUACUGUUAUCAACACCGGAAUUUUUAAAAUUUCAAAGAUUCUUUCUUUUUUUUUUUUUUGAAGUAUGUGCUUAUAUUGAAAGUGAUUACAUAUAAAUAUAAAUAUAAAUAAUAUUAAUUUUUGUUUUAAAGAAAAUCAUCUUUUUCUCAUUAUCUUAGGACUAGUUAGGUAUCCAUAAUCCCACAACAGCCACAAAGAAAAAACCAUCUUCAGAAAAAAAGAUAUUUACUAUUUCAAGUAUAACUUUACCCAGACUGUAGCAUUGCUUUAAAUAAAGUUAACACUUCAAGAGAAAACAACAUGUUUUACUAAGGAAAUUUACUAUAAUAUAUAAUUUAUUUUCAAUUAAGUUUUUACUAAAUAAAGCAUUAAUUGAUUUUUUCUAUUUUAUUAAAGUAAACUUUUAACUUUAAAAAAUAUUAUACCAUUAUUUUAACAUAAAAAUAUUAUUUGCAUGUUACUUUGUCACAAGCGUGUAUCCAUUUAUAAUUAUAUAUAAUGUAAUAUAUUUUUAUUUUAUUUUAGUUCUUAAAUAAAAUAUUUAUAUAGUUUCACAUUUUCAACUACAUAUAGGUGUGUGUGUUCAGUUUAUGGCUAUGUGUGUCAUACAUUUCUCAUUAUACUUCUCAUUUUAUGAUGUUGAGAAGUUGAAACCCUGAACACUUG
rnacentral:lncRNA from 1 species